UGAGGAAUUUUCCGCAAUGGGCGAAAGCCUGACGGAGCAAUACCGCGUGAAGGAAGAAGGUCCGUGGAUCGUAAACUUCUUUUCUCAAGGAAGAAAAAAUGACGGUACUUGAGGAAUAAGCACCGGCUAACUCUGUGCCAGCAGCCGCGGUAAUACAGAGGGUGCAAGCAUUGUCCGGAAUGAUUGGGCGUAAAGCGUCUGUAGGUGGUUUUUAAAGUCGACUGUCAAAUCCCAGAGCUCAACUUUGGACCGGCAGUCGAGAACUUAAAAGCUAGAGUAUGGUAGGGGUAGAGGGAAUUCCUUGUGGAGCGGUGAAAUGCACAGAGAUAAGGAAGAACACCAGUGGCGAAGGCGCUCUACUGAGCCAUGACUGACACUGAGAGACGAUAGCUGGGGGAGCGAAAAGG
rnacentral:rRNA from 1 species